rnacentral:tRNA from 1 species
GCCACUGUGGCUCAGUGGAGAGAGCAUUGGCCCAUGCACCAAAGGGUCUCAGGUUUGAUUCCCUGUCAAAGGCA